CUCUCUGAUGAUGAAUAAUAAAGAUAUAACUUUCGUUCUUCUGAGAUUUUUCUAUGCGGAAGAAAAUUAUUGGAGACCUGAACUGAGGAGAC